UGCGUGCACAACAUGUCCAGUAUACACACA
rnacentral:piRNA from 1 species